GGAUAACCGCUGAAGGCAUCUAAGCGGGAAACCCACCUCAAAACAAGUUCUCCCUGAAGAGCCGUGGAAGACCACCACGUCGAUAGGAGGCAUGUGGAAGCGCAGCAAUGCGUGAAGCUGAGCCUUACUAAUAGCUCGUUCGGCUUGAUCACUCUCAUUU
rnacentral:rRNA from 1 species